GAUUAACGCUAGCGGCAGGCAUAAUACAUGCAAGUUGAACGGCAGCACAGGUAGCAAUACUGGGUGGCGAGUGGCGCACGGGUGCGUAACACGUAUGCAACCUACCCUAUACAGGCGAAUAACCUUUAGAAAUGAGGGCUAAUACGCCGUAGUAUUACAGAUGGGCAUCUAUUUGUAAUUAAAGAUUUAUCGGUAUAGGAUGGGCAUGCGUCCCAUUAGUUAGUUGGUAAGGUAACGGCUUACCAAGACGAUGAUGGGUAGGGGAUCUGAGAGGACUUACCCCCACACUGGUACUGAGACACGGACCAGACUCCAACGGGAGGCAGCAGUAAGGAAUAUUGGGCAAUGGCCGCGAGGCUGACCCAGCCAUGCCGCGUGCAGGAAGACGGCCUUAUGGGUUGUAAACUGCUUUUAUACGGGAAUAAUAGAGUGUACGCGUACAUUUAUGCAAGUAUCGUAUGAAUAAGCAUCGGCUAACUCCGUG
rnacentral:rRNA from 1 species